rnacentral:rRNA from 1 species
UACGGGGGGGGCAAGCGUUGUUCGGAAUUACUGGGCGUAAAGGGCUUGUAGGUGGCCAACUAAGUCAGACGUGAGAUCCCUCGGCUUAACCGGGGAACUGCGUCUGAUACUGGAUGGCUGGAGUGUGGGAGAGGGAUGCGGAAUUCCAGGUGUAGCGGUGAAAUGCGUAGAUAUCUGGAGGAACACCGGUGGCGAAGGCGGCAUCCUGGACCAUUACUGACACUGAAAAGCGAAAGCCAGGGGAGCAAACGGG